GCGAAAGCGUUAAGUGUUCCACCUGGGGAGUACACCGGCAACGGUGAAACUCAAAGGAAUAGACGGGGGCCCGCCCAAGCGGAGGAACAUGUGGUUUAAUUCGAUGAUACGCGAGGAACCUUACCCGGGAUCAAACGACACAGGAAUACUUUUGAAAGGAGGUAGCCCUACGGGGUCUGUGUCGAAGUGCUGCAUGGUUGUCGUCAGCUCGUGCCAUGAGGUGUCGGCUUAAGUGCCAUAACGAGCGCAACCCCUAUCGCCAGUUACCAUCAAGUAAAGUUGGGGACUAUGGCGAGACUGCCGGCGCAAGUUGAGAGGAAGGGGGGGAUGACGUCAAAUCAGCACGGCCCUUACGUCCGGGGCGACACACGUGUUACAAUGGCAGGUACAGAGAAAAGCCAGGUGGCGACACCGCGCGGAACUCGAAAGCCAGUCUCAAUUCGGAUCGGAGUAUGCAACCCGACUCCGUGAA
rnacentral:rRNA from 1 species